rnacentral:rRNA from 1 species
GACGAACGCUGGCGGCGUGCUUAACACAUGCAAGUCGUACGGUAAGGCCCUUUCGGGGGUACACGAGUGGCGAACGGGUGAGUAACACGUGAGUAACCUGCCCACAACUUUGGGAUAACGCUAGGAAACUGGUGCUAAUACUGGAUAUGUGCUCCUGCUGCAUGGUGGGGGUUGGAAAGCUCCUGCGGUUGUGGAUGGACUCGCGGCCUAUCAGCUUGUUGGUGGGGUAGUGGCCUACCAAGGCGGCGACGGGUAGCCGGCCUGAGAGGGUGACCGGCCACAUUGGGACUGAGAUACGGCCCAGACUCCUACGGGGGGCAGCAGUGGGGAAUAUUGAACAAGGGGCGCAAGCCUGAUGCAGCAACGCCGCGGGCGGGAUGACGGCCUUCGGGUUGUAAACCGCUUUCAGCAGGGACGAAGCUUUUUGUGACGGUACCUGCAGAAGAAGCACCGGCUAACUACGUG